CGAUCUGGGGCCGAGGAAUGUGGUGUUUGGGAGGACCAUGACCGCCUGUCCGGCUUUCGUCCAAGUCUCCAUGAACGGGGCGAGCAACCCAUAGAGGGUGUCAGGCCCGUGGUAUUGGCGAGUCGCGACCGUGGUAGAGGUCUCUCCUUGGAGUCGGGUUGCUUGAGAGUGCAGCUCUAAGCGGGAGGUAAACUCCUUCUAAGGCUAAAUACGGCCACGAGACCGAUAGCGAACAAGUACCGCGAGGGAAAGUUGAAAAGAACUUUGAAGAGAGAGUUCAAGAGUGCGUGAAACCGUUUGGAGGGUAAAACGGGUGGGCGCUCGAAGAUCGAACGAUCCUUACUCCCGCCAUCUGCACGCCAGUCUCUUGUAGAUCCUAACGUGUGCCCACGUCUUCACGGAUGUGUGUUUUGCCACGGGUCUUGCAGGAGUUCACUGGCGGCCGUGCAGGGGCCGCAAGUUUGGGAUCUAGUAGGACUCCGCAACCGUCUGGAUAGACGUCAAACGGAACCUUCUUGAGUAUUCCACGGCUUGUCGUUCCGUUUCGGCGGUUAACUUCAAGCGGGGAGUGUUCCUGACGUUCUAGUUCG
rnacentral:rRNA from 1 species